rnacentral:tRNA from 1 species
UCCCUGGUGGUUUAGUGGUUAGGAUUCAGCGCUUUCACUCUUGCAGCCUGGGUUCAAUCCCUGGCCAGGGAA